UAUGACAAAAGGUCGAAAGACAUAAGGUCGAAGGACAAAAGGUCGAAGGACAAAAGGUCGAAUGGACAAAAGGUCGAAUGGACAAAAGGUCGAAUGGACAAAAGGUCGAAUGGACAAAAGGUCGAAGGGACAAAAGGUCGAAUGGACAAAAGGUCGAAUGGGACAGAAGGUCGAAUGGACAAAAGGUCGAAUAGAACAAAAGGUAUAAUUGACAGUAGACAAUUUGGAAGACAUGAUAAAGUGGUCAGUAUUUGACAGAAAAACGACAAUUAGCUUAUAUGCAGCUAUUUACUACCGCAUUGCAAUCCGAAAUAGAUGCCUAGAAUGAUAGAAAGUAGAAGCCAAUAGAAGGAUAUAAAGUAAUGUUAUUCAUGAAAGUUAAAUGUGGAAAAUAGUACUCCUUGAAAGAAUAGCCUAUGGGUAGAAGAAGGAUGAACAA